GCCCAACGAGAUCGGGAUAACACCUGGAAACAGAUGCUAAUACCGGAUAACAACAGAUGAUGCCUAUCAACUGUUUAAAAGAUGGUUCUGCUAUCACUCUUGGAUGGACCUGCGGUGCAUUAGCUAGUUGGUAGGGUAACGGCCUACCAAGGCGAUGAUGCAUAGCCGAGUUGAGAGACUGAUCGGCCACAUUGGGACUGAGACACGGCCCAAACUCCUACGGGAGGCAGCAGGA
rnacentral:rRNA from 1 species